rnacentral:sRNA from 1 species
CUCUUUCAUUGAAGAAAUUUAAGUUCGUGUGGUUUUACCUUUUCCGGGAGUCUCCAGCUGGCCCUCAUUUGUGUCCGGAGCUCAGGAGUUCCCAAACCGACUCAGUCGCACCAAGUUUCCGUCUUUUGGAAUUGGGGAAGGAGUUUCUUUCUUUCUUUUUUUUUCUUGAGCCAGUUUUAAUCGCUUUGAAUAAAUACUCCCUUAAGUAGUUAAAUAUAGGAGGAGAAAGAAUACAUCGGUUGUUAAAGCAGGAGAGGAAGAGAGACCUGCCCUAUAGCGUGACUCCUCUAGAAAAAAAAAAAAAAAAAGCCGGAGUAUUUUACUAAGCCCCUAAAAUGUCGAGAUUUGUACAAGAUUCAACCCUAUGAAAAGAUAAAGGCCAGGGGCUUGCCUGAUAAUAUAUCUUCUGUGUUGAACAAACUAGUGGUGGUGAAACUCAAUGGUGGUUUGGGAACCAGCAUGGGCUGCAAAGGCCCUAAAAGUCUGAUUGGUGUGAGGAAUGAGAAUACCUUUCUGGAUCUGACUGUUCAGCAAAUUGAACAUUUGAAUAAAACCUACAAUACAGAUGUUCCUCUUGUUUUAAUGAACUCUUUUAACACGGAUGAAGAUACCAAAAAAAUACUACAGAAGUACAAUCAUUGUCGUGUGAAAAUCUACACUUUCAAUCAAAGCAGGUACCCGAGGAUUAAUAAAGAAUCUUUACUUCCUGUAGCAAAGGAUGUGUCUUACUCAGGGGAAAAUACAGAAGCUUGGUACCCUCCAGGUCAUGGUGAUAUUUACGCCAGUUUCUACAACUCUGGAUUGCUUGAUACCUUUAUAGGAGAAGGCAAAGAGUAUAUUUUUGUGUCUAACAUAGAUAAUCUGGGUGCCACAGUGGAUCUGUAUAUUCUUAAUCAUCUAAUGAACCCACCCAAUGGAAAACGCUGUGAAUUUGUCAUGGAAGUCACAAAUAAAACACGUGCAGAUGUAAAGGGCGGGACACUCACUCAAUAUGAAGGCAAACUGAGACUGGUGGAAAUUGCUCAAGUGCCAAAAGCACAUGUAGAUGAGUUCAAGUCUGUAUCAAAGUUCAAAAUAUUUAAUACAAACAACCUAUGGAUUUCUCUUGCAGCAGUUAAAAGACUGCAGGAGCAAAAUGCCAUUGACAUGGAAAUCAUUGUGAAUGCAAAGACUUUGGAUGGAGGCCUGAAUGUCAUUCAAUUAGAAACUGCAGUAGGGGCUGCCAUCAAAAGUUUUGAGAAUUCUCUAGGUAUUAAUGUGCCAAGGAGCCGUUUUCUGCCUGUCAAAACCACAUCAGAUCUCUUGCUGGUGAUGUCAAACCUCUAUAGUCUUAAUGCAGGAUCUCUGACAAUGAGUGAAAAGCGGGAAUUUCCUACAGUGCCCUUGGUUAAAUUAGGCAGUUCUUUUACAAAGGUACGUAACUAUAAAGAUAUGUGAGUUCAUAUUUCUUAAAUGUGUAAUUAUAAAGAUAUGAUAUACAUGUGAAUUGGAGACUAAUUACAGUCUCUACCACUGACCUGUUGUAUUCCUCUGUCUUUGAUACCUUUUAAAGGGAAUUGACCAUAGAAGAUAAAUAUUUUACUUCACAUUUGAAACAUGAUUGCCAUAUGGAGAGUAGAAAAUAAUCUUUAAAUUUUGGGGCAUUUUAUCUUCUGUCUCUUCCAAGACCAGUACUGCUUUCAUCAGUGGGAAAAGGUUAAUUCUGGCUUAACAAAUACUUAUUGAACGCCUAUCAUGCACUGGGCAGUGUUCUAGGUUCUAGGGAUUUAGCAUUAAACAAAACAGACUAAAUCUUUGUCUUCACGGAAUUGACAUUCUAGUGGGGAAAGGACGAUAAGUAAGUAAAUGUAUGAUAUACCAAGUGGUGGAAAAUGCUAUGGAGAAACAAAGCAAGGGUGGAGAAUAGGGAAUGCCUGGGGAGGUGGCGGGGUGGUGUUGAUGGUGUAAUUUUACAUUGAGUGGCCACAGGCAGCCUCAUUGAGUUGAUUGGGUCUGACAAAUGGGUAUCUAGUGCAAAAAGUGUUCUAGACAGGUGGAAUAGCAAGUACAGUACGUCCUCAGUGUCAUCAGUAUGUUCUUGGAAACUGCCACAGUAAGCAGAACAAUGUGUAACACAUUUUGCCAUAGGCUAAUUGAUAUAAACAAGAGUUCAGUUCCUACAGUUUAUUUCUGGUCACAAAAAUAUCACCAAAUUUUAAAAACAAAACACUUCUAAUAUUAAACCCUGAAAUAAAUGUGAGCUGUACAUACAUUGAUUAAUAAAAACAAGAUAAUUCUUGACUCACUUAUUCCGGUUCAGGUUCACGGGUGACCAGAGCUUAUCCCGGCAGCUCAGGGCACAAGGCAGGAGCCAACCCUGCACAGGCCGCCAUCCCAUCUCGGGGCACACUCACACAUAUCCACACUCAUACUGGGACCAUGUAGACACACCAGUUCACCUAACAUGCACAUCUUUGGGAUGUGGGAAGAAACCAGAAUAGUUGGAGAAAACCCACACAGAUGUGGGGAGAACGUGCAAACUCCACAUAGACAGUAGCCCUGGCUGGCAAUCUUUUUUUUCCCCUCAUCAGCGUUAUAACAAAGUAACAUUGAACAAAACAGCACUAUCUGUGGACCUGCUGUAAAACUCCACCCUAGCCUGAUAAGUGAAAUCCAAAAAAUUUAAUCAAUGAAAUGUGACACUGUGAGCCUUUGUGGUUGGCCUAUGGGGUCCUGCUCUGCCAUCCAAGUCUGUUUUAGUCCACAGCAGGUGUGGUUUGGUGCCACCUGCUGUGGAUUUGUAGAAUGCAGAUGGGGAAUUAGAAAACUAUGAAUGCAUGUGUCCUCAGAGUCAAAUGAAGAAAAUAUUUCAAGAAAGUGGGAAUGAUCAUGUGUCAAAUGCUGCUGCUGAUUCAAGUAAGAUGAGAAUUAGUUUUAUCAGUAUGGAGGUUUGGGAGCCUCACAGGCAUGGAUUUAAAAGAGAAUGAAAAACGAGGAACUGGAGAUAUGAAUAUCGAAAACUCAAGAGUUUUGCCUUAAAGAGAAACAGAGAAAUGGGGCUAUAGGUAGAAAGGAAUAUAGGAUUUGAGUUUUUGUUUUUUUUUAAUGGGAGGAUGUUUAUACAUUAAUGGGAAUGCAGUCAGGAGGGAAAAAAGACUGAAGAGGGAGAAUUGCUGAAACAACACUUGAUAGGCCGUAAGAAGGGAUCUGAUGCACAAAUGGAGAGGUUGGCUUUAAGUAGGAAUAGAAACAGUCCAAUUCCAGUACUAGGAAGGCAGAGUAAUGGGCAAUGGGGGCAAAGUAGUGGUGGUGGUGGAUGGAAACAAGUGGAAGUUUUCUGAUUGCUCCCAUUUUCCCAGCAAAAUAGGAAACGGGGUCACAUAGGACAAUCUCUAGUGCUUGUAAAUCUAAGGAAAUAAAAAGACAAAUUAUUAUGAUAACAUAAUAAUUUGUGCUGUUGCUCUUCCUAAAAUGUGCUCUAAUUUUUCAGAAUCCUACCUAUCCACUAAAGUCCAGCUCCAGUCUAGCCUGCUUCAAAGCAUGAUCUCUUUUUUUCAGUUAAAUUCAGAUUGUGUGAACUAUUCAUCUGGCUCUUGGCAUGUUGAUUAUCUUUAAAAAAAAAAAAAAAGAAAAAAAAAACCUUAGAUCUGCUCAACUGUCUUAUAAAUUGCUUGGUAUAAAAACAAUGUUUGUAGCUCCUGGUCUUUCCUGCACAGCAUUUAGCAUAUAAUGAGUGCUUAAUAAGUAGGUGCUUCCCACAGAGGACCUGAGCUUUGCCAAAAAAGGUUUCUACAGUUCAGUUAAACUUUCUUGUUAAUAUUUUUCCUGUCUUUCUUUGAACCCAUUUGAGACAAAUUUUUAUGUUUCAACUUUUCUGUAAGGUUCAAGAUUAUCUAAGAAGAUUUGAAAGUAUACCAGAUAUGCUUGAAUUGGAUCACCUCACAGUUUCAGGAGAUGUGACAUUUGGAAAAAAUGUUUCAUUAAAGGGAACGGUUAUCAUCAUUGCAAAUCAUGGUGACAGAAUUGAUAUCCCACCUGGAGCAGUAUUAGAGAACAAGAUUGUGUCUGGAAACCUUCGCAUCUUGGACCACUGAAAUGAAAAAUACUGUGGACACUUUAAUAAUGGGCUAGUUUCUUACAAUGAAAUGUUCUCUAGGAUUCUAAAAUAGGCAGGUACUUUACUAUGUUACUGUACCCUGCAGUGUUGAUUUUUAAAAUAGAGUUUUCUGCAGUAUGCUUUUAGUCUAAGAAAAGCACAGAUGGAGCAAUACUUUCCUUCUUUGAAGAGGAUCCCAAAAGUUAGUUCAUCUUAAAGUGCAAUAUUGUUUAAUCUUAAAACUGGGCAACUUUGGAAGAACUUUUAACAGAAGCCUCAAUGAUGAUCACUUUGAAUUGCUUGUGAUUUCAAAAAUAAAGCAGUGAAGCAAUA